rnacentral:rRNA from 1 species
UACGUAGGGGGCGAGCGUUGUCCGGAGUUACUGGGCGUAAAGCGCACGCAGGCGGUCUGCUAAGUUUGGAGUGACAGUUGGUGGCUUAACUGCCAAAGUGCUUCGAAAACUGACAGACUUGAGGGCUUCAGAGGGACACGGAAUUCCGGGUGGAGUGGUGAAAUGCGCAGAUAUCGGGAAGAACACCCGUGGCGAAGGCGGCUCUCUGGGACGGUACUGACGCUGAGACGCGAAAGCGUGGGGAGCGAACAGG